rnacentral:sRNA from 1 species
AAGAAGUCCAGGCAUCCGUAGUUACGGCUA